AGUGGGACCUUACAUUUUACUAAAGGUUCCGAAAAUUAUAACAUUCAUAAAUUCUCCUGGAAUUCUUAUAAACUUUCUAGCGCGCUCCGGGACAGAAGUCUUUUGAAGAAAAGAGGAAAAAAUCAAUAUCAUUGUUAUGAUAAAAUUUGAAUACAGAUUUCCUUUUGGCAAACAUUUUGACUUGAGAAUAAUAUGUGCAUUAAUAUGUAUGUCUACUCGUUAAAGAUACAAAUUUGAAACGUAUAAAGACCUGAUUUCUGAAGAGAGAAGGCUAAGCUUUUAAAAAGCCAAGUGGAAAACGAAGCCCGCGCCUGUAUCCAUACCUAAAAUGCAUUUCAAUCGUUAAGCAAGUUUACAACCCACUGUACGAAGAGGUGACGGUGACGGAGUGGCGGUCGGUCAGGUCGGUUGGUUCAUUUGCCAUUCGUUCGUCUCUCGGCUUUAUGAGCCGAAUGUGAUGUACAAACAGUGAGAAAACUGGUUGUGUGUGUGUGUAUUGCGCCAUCGCUCUACGCCUGUGUUUCUCUCUGAGCAGAGCAUAUUUCGUUUGUUUACAGUUUUUCGUUUUUGCGCCGUUGGAAGGCUGUAUUCGAAUUCUCUUUAAUCAAUGAAUUUAACAAAAAUUAAAUAUAUUUAAUUAGUUAAAGUGCUAUACCUAGCAGUGAAGUGUAUGUCUUUAAUUUUGGGCUGUGAAAUAAUUUUCAAGAAUACCUGCAUUUUUGUUUGCAAGAGUUGGUAAUCUGAAUUUUAACUCCAUCAUUUCCUAAUAAAAUUAAUAUCAUGUAAUAGUUUUUUGAUUACAUUUUCCAGAACGACAUUAUUGUUUCCAAAUACCUUAGUAAUAAUUUUCCUUGUCUCCAUUCUAUUUCAAUAUUUAUUUUUUUUAGUUAUGUAUUCAAUAAGGGUAUACCAAUGUCGCCUAACUACACAAGUUUAAAACUUUGUUGCCCGAAGAGAUUUUGCACAUCAAGGUCACCGCGAUGUGGGUAGUUCAGUAACGAACAUCUACAAAACGAAGCUUCACUAAUGAGAGUUCGCCGGCUCGUUGACAGAUGCAUUGGCGCGGAUUAAGAAUGUGCAGAAGCAAACAAAGGAUUGCGGGACCUAACACAACAGCAGCUCUUCUGGCCGGGACAACAACUGCAGCGGCAAUGCAGCAGGAACAAUGAAACAAACGGUCUUUUGGCUAUUCCACCCCUCUUUUAACUUGUCCUACGCACAUUUUACACAGCACCCUAAAAACUGAGAGAAAAGGCAAUAGCUUCAAUGAGGAAAAUUCAAAUAAAUAAAAUAAUGCAAAUUCAAUAAACUUGUUACUUGAUAAGUUCCUUCGUCCAUAAUUGCAAUAUAUAAUGGUAAUUGACUUCCUGAUUUCUUUCAGAGUCUAACAAAAAUUACCUUUAAAAAGGCACUUCCCUUUAAAAAGUACUACAUUUUCUUAAGCUUGUCCUGUAAGUUUGUAUAAGUGUAUUAAGUUAAGAAUGCAAACGGGAAAGUAAACCUGUCACCCACUACUUUAAAAUUGUUAAGCCGCCUUUUUUACACUUUUCAGUUUUGCGCUUUUCCAUAAACGGGGAGCUCAAAGAACGAGACUUUGUAACCAUAAUCCACAUAGGUGUUAUAUCUUUAAUGUCACUUUGAGCACAUAUUCGUCGUCUUUUUUAAAGUUUUCAAAUUGUUUAAAUUUGACUAAAAUGAUCAAGGGUUUCCAUUAUACUUAAAAAACAGCUCCACAAGACAGCUUGAUAUACCAUUUGCUUUUUGGCAGUUCGGAUAAAAGAGCCACUGUGCAUCGAACUGCUAACCCACUUAUCCGUCCCGUUCGCCCCACCAUUAUUAUCCCUGGAACCAACUCCCCACCUCCACCACCGCUUUCGACGAAUUCCUUCGGUUGGGGUGAAUAAUAUUCUCUUCGAGCCUAAAAGAUUGGCAAGAAAUUUGAAGAACGAGAGGAGCCAAAAGCCGGGAAUCUAAUAUGGAUGUUUUGUGUUGAUUUGUUUUAAAUUACUUUAAAGAUACCUAAGAUUUGGUAUAUUGAAAUGCAAAUGGGACCCAAAUAUUGCACAUUCGACAAGCAACAAAAGAACACAAGGCCCGGCGAAAAAAUAAAAGACUGGCAAUUAACUUUGACAUCUGAGGGGCACGCGAUAAAAGUUAUCGAUGACUGCGAGAACGGUUGGCAUGAGGGGUCACUCAGGAAAAUCAAAUUUGAUUGCUUAAAUGGCUUCCGAAAUUGAAAGCAAAAGUGCAACUCAACUCGAUAAGAGAGGGUAUACAGGGAGCACUCUUCUAGUGCAUAUCCUAUUAGAAGGUUGAAAUGCACUUAACGUUUGUAUUAACACACACACACACAACAAGAAACUACUCUUGUCCAAAUACUCUGCCUGGACUACUUCCAUUUCAUAGCUUUCCAACUGAUUGCUUUCUGGUGGUGUGCUCGCGAAAAACAGAAACCUCAGGAACAGCUGAGUGUGCACACAAAUCCACACGUGCUGCGCCUUCACCCAAAAUACAAAAAUGAAUCUUAAGGACAAAA
rnacentral:sRNA from 1 species